CGAUCACUGAGCUCAGUUGGAAGAGCAUUGGGCUAGUAUUCCAAAGGUCGUAGGUUCGAAUCCCACCGUGGCCGG
rnacentral:tRNA from 1 species